UACGUAGGGGGCAAGCGUUGUCCGGAUUUAUUGGGCGUAAAGAGCGUGUAGGCGGCCAUGUAGGUCCGUUGUGAAAACUCGAGGCUCAACCUCGAGACGCCGAUGGAAACCAUGUGGCUAGAGUCCGGAAGAGGAGAGUGGAAUUCCUGGUGUAGCGGUGAAAUGCGCAGAUAUCAGGAGGAACACCAAUAGCGAAGGCAGCUCGCUGGGACGUUACUGACGCUGAGGCGCGAAAGCGUGGGGAGCAAACAGG
rnacentral:rRNA from 1 species